GACGUAGGGGAAGACGCGUUGGUCGGGGGGAAGGUUCUAGAAAAGCGGCGGCAGCGGCUCUAGCGGCAGUAGCAGCAGCGCCGGCUCCCGUGUGGAGGUGCUCUUAGCGGUGUUGUUUCUCGAGCAGCAGCAGCUCUCACUACAGCGCCAGGACGAGUCCGGUUCGUGUUCGUCCGCGGAGAUCUCUCUCAUCUCGCUCGGCUGCGGGAAAUCGGGCUGAGGCGACUGAGUCCGCGAUGGAGAAAACUUUAGAAACUGUUCCUUUGGAGAGGAAAAAGAGAGAAAAGGAACAGUUCCGUAAACUUUUUAUUGGUGGCUUGAGCUUUGAAACCACAGAAGAAAGUUUGAGGAACUACUACGAGCAAUGGGGGAAACUUACAGACUGUGUGGUCAUGAGAGAUCCUGCAAGCAAAAGAUCAAGAGGAUUUGGUUUUGUAACUUUUUCGUCCAUGGCUGAGGUUGACGCUGCCAUGGCUGCAAGACCUCAUUCAAUUGAUGGGAGAGUGGUUGAGCCAAAACGUGCUGUUGCAAGAGAGGAAUCUGGAAAGCCAGGGGCUCACGUAACUGUGAAGAAGCUGUUUGUUGGUGGAAUUAAAGAAGAUACUGAGGAACAUCAUCUUAGAGAUUACUUCGAAGAGUAUGGGAAGAUUGAUACCAUUGAGAUAAUUACUGAUAGGCAGUCUGGAAAGAAAAGAGGCUUUGGAUUUGUUACCUUUGAUGAUCAUGAUCCCGUGGAUAAGAUUGUGUUGCAGAAAUAUCAUACCAUCAAUGGUCAUAAUGCAGAAGUAAGAAAGGCUCUGUCUAGACAAGAAAUGCAGGAAGUCCAGAGCUCUAGAAGUGGAAGAGGAGGCAACUUCGGUUUUGGAGAUUCUCGUGGUGGUGGUGGGAAUUUUGGACCAGGCCCGGGAAGUAACUUUAGAGGAGGAUCUGAUGGAUAUGGAAGUGGUCGCGGAUUUGGGGAUGGCUAUAAUGGGUAUGGAGGAGGACCUGGAGGUGGCAAUUUUGGAGGUAGCCCUGGUUAUGGAGGAGGAAGAGGAGGAUAUGGUGGUGGAGGACCUGGAUAUGGCAACCAGGGUGGGGGCUACGGAGGUGGUUAUGACAACUAUGGAGGAGGAAAUUACGGAAGUGGAAAUUACAAUGAUUUUGGAAAUUAUAACCAGCAACCUUCUAACUAUGGUCCAAUGAAGAGUGGAAACUUUGGUGGUAGCAGGAACAUGGGGGGACCAUAUGGUGGAGGAAACUAUGGUCCUGGAGGCAGUGGAGGAAGUGGGGGUUAUGGAGGGAGAAGCCGAUAUUGAGCUUCUUCCUAUUUGCCAUGGCAUUGAUAUGAACCAUGGACAAGUAUAUUCUGCUGCCACAAAGACUGUAAAGUGCUUCAUUUCAACAGCUGAGGCGCAAGCCAAGUGAUCAUUAAUAAAGCUUUUCUUGGUUCCUUCAGUGGUGUUGGUAGUAAAAUGGAAGGUGUCUUGCUGCAGGUAACUAAUGAAGAAGUGGUCAACCACAGAGUCUUCAAGAAAUAAGAAAUACUGUACCAUCUGAAAGUAGUUCUUGUUGGUGCCUUCAUUUAAAAAAAAGCACUUUAAGAUUAAAGGGAAAUGUUUUCUGAUAAAAUACAUCAUUUAGUACAGGUUCUUAAUCUAAAACCAUUACAAAUUGAGUACUGUUUGUAAAAGAGUAACAUCAAGUAAGCUAGAGAGAGAAAUGUAUCAUGUUUUAAAUUAGGUUUUGUGAGUAGACAGAUUAAAAUUCUAUUUUAAAUAUAAAGUUUAUAAAAUAAACACUUUUGUAUUCAAAUACUUGGUGUAAUGUUUACACAUAAAAUGUGUGAAUCUUGUUCUAUCAACUUACAGUUGUCUAAAAGAUUGCCAUCCCCUAGAGUUUUAAAGCAGUUUCACAAAGCUAUGCAUAUUGCCAUUUUUAUUUCAACAUUAAUAGUCAAGAAAAGCAUUGUGGACAUUAUUGGCUGUCCCUAAUAAAAUGCCAUUCUUUUUAUACUGUA